rnacentral:rRNA from 1 species
AUUGAACGCUGGCGGAAUGCUUUACACAUGCAAGUCGAGCGGCAGCGCGGGGCAACCUGGCGGCGAGCGGCGAACGGGUGAGUAAUACAUCGGAACGUACCCAGUUGUGGGGGAUAGCCCGGCGAAAGCCGGAUUAAUACCGCAUACGACCUGAGGGUGAAAGCGGGGGAUCGCAAGACCUCGCGCAGUUGGAGCGGCCGAUGGCGGAUUAGCUAGUUGGUGAGGUAAAGGCUCACCAAGGCGACGAUCCGUAGCUGGUCUGAGAGGACGACCAGCCAGACUGGAACUGAGACACGGCCCAGGCUCCUACGGGAGGCAGCAGUGGGGAAUUUUGGACAAUGGGGGAAACCCUGAUCCAGCCAUUCCGCGUGAGUGAAGAAGGCCUUCGGGUUGUAAAGCUCUUUCGGCAGGAACGAAACGGCGAGCUCUAACAUAGUUUGCUAAUGACGGUACCUGAAGAAGAAGCACCGGCUAACUACGUGCCAGCCGCCGCCGUAA